GGGAACGUAGCUCAGCCUGGGAGAGCACUACGCUGAAGACGUAGGUGUCCCGGAUUCAAAUUUUAUAAAGGGAAUAUAAAUCCCUUUAGAAUUGAAAGUUCCGGCGUUCCCA
rnacentral:tRNA from 1 species